AGGAAGUUAGAAAUGUUUUACAAAAAUGGGAUCGGAUAAUUGGCAGUUCGGAUCGGUUCAGAUCAGCUCGGUUAAGUUCGAUUUUUUGGGCUCGGGUUUAAGAGCGGGUUAAAAAUAACUGUGGAAGUUUUAGAAUUGACUAUUAUGUUAUAGAACUUUUGGACUUAAGAAUAAAAAAUUAAUUAAAAGUUUGACGCGGGAAAAUACUAUUUAAAAAGCUGAUGUAUUUAUACUGAAUUGACUGUUAGUAUAGUUGACGUCUGUAUAACCUUGUAAAUAAAACCGAGUGUGUAAAAAACUGCUGACUUUCUCAAUCUAUGCAACCAGUGGUGGUGUUACAUGGAUCGUUUCUGGUGCACAUGUGACCAGGAUUUCAACAGAACAUUUUGAACGAACAAAAAAAUUGUCGCGGAUAUCACAACGGAAGUACUUAAAAGAAUACAGCUUGAAAACUACAUUUGGAAGUAUUGAAGCAUCAACUACAGAACAGAAAUUCAUACAAAAAAUAUAGAAUAAAAAUUUAACUGUUUUACUUGGAAAAUUAUUAGUACAUCAGUGACGGAUAAAACAACGAAAGACCUGAGCAAAAACGAAUCUGGUAUUCAUUUCAUGGCGAAAUAUUGUAGCAUCAGCAAUGCAUUUAAAGUUUGGAAGCGCAGAAUGCUAAUAAUAAAAAACAAAACUGAUAAGAAAAAUGGAAAAAGACUAUUAUGACAAAUACGGUACUACUGUCGGAGCUGGACACCGAAUCGCGCAGAGAAAACAAGUCGUUUUAAAGACGUGCAACAGGGCCGUGCUACAGAAAAUAGCGACUGCAGGAACUCGAGUAAAUGUUUCUAAGGAGGACGGGAGAUAUAUAGAUUCCAGGAAUUCAUGUAAAGUAAUAUCUAAGGAAGGAAAGAAGUUGCAGAACUCCAGAAAUAAAAUGAGGCAGGAAUGUGGAUGUAUACUCUGAGCUCAAAGAAUGUUGUAUAAUUCAUAGUUAAGAUGUGGGUAAGUCUUAAAACGUGGAUCAUACAUGACAUAGGGCAUUAAUAUACUGUAGAUAUAUAUGAGACGGAAAUAAUGUCUUAGAGCGUGAGUAACGCAUAUAUAUUUUAUUUAAGAUGUAAGAAGUCUUAAAGCGUGGAUAACGGGCAGUAUAGAAAUUAUAGUGAAGUGAAUAUGACGUGUGUAACGUCUCCGGAGCAAGUGUAAUGCUCAAAUGUAGGAAAUUAGUCGCCAGUAAUGCGAUUGUUGUAAAAAAUGAAUAUAGAGGAUUUUGUUCUUUGAGUCAGAGGGAUUUAGUUGCUACUUUGCCUGAAUUAUUAGGGAUGGAUGUACAAGAAUAAUAAAUAUGAUGUACAUUUAGGAUAUGAGGCAAUUUUAAAACGGGACGGUUUUAAGUUCACAAAACCUUAUUUUUUUAGGGAGAAAUAAAAAGAUGAGUAACUAUGUAUAGAUUCUGAAGAUGAUUUCUUGAGCUAAAUUUUUCAAGGCAGGGCAUAUAAGAAAUUUGAAUUUAGUUAACGAUAAUAUUCCGAACAGUUACCAGUGGUUUGCAGAGAUUCUGAACAGUCCUAACAAAUAAAAGGCGAUGCAACUUUUAGCAGCAGAUGAUGUAUGGUAAAACAUGUUUAAAGCCGUCAAAAAAAAAAAAAAAAAAAAAAAAAAAAAAAAAAAAAAAGUUGAAGAAAAUCAUAUGAAAGCUUAUAUGAAUACAACACGGAUAGAUAACAUUGUACCAGCGUAAACAAUAAUAGCAAAUCAUCACAGGAAGUGCAAACGUCAUCCGAAACUAAUAUGAAAUAUUCUAUGAUUAAUUCUUGGGAAAAAUAUGCUGAAUUGUGUUCAUAUCUUGAAAGGAAUAUUCUAGAGACGUGUUUCUUUUUGUAGAUUGUGUUGUUUUUUUUAUCUUAUAGAAGUGUUCCCUAUAGACGUGUGAUUUUAUUCUCAUUGACGGGCUACCUUUUAAUAGACGUGUAUUUUUUUACCUAAUAGACAUGUUCCCUUUUACAGACGUGAAUCCUCAAUUUUAUGUGUUUGAAUUUGAUUGUUAUAGCUUUAGCAAAAUGAAAAUGUCAAUAGCAACAGUGACAUGAAACGAUAGCAACGGAGACUUGUAAAAAAUGCAGCCGGAUGAAAAAUGGAACUGGACAAAAAAAAUGAUGCCGUGAAUAAUAUUUUGUCAUGCCUGUACUUUAAAUGUUUUGAAGAAAUGUAUAAGAAAAAAAAUAUACUACAUAACAUUUGCUUUGCAAAUAUGUAGAGUGAGGUAAACAAGUAACAGGUUAUAUAUUUCGCUUGGUUAUCAAAAUUGUUGAAAAGGCAGUAUCUUUGAAUAUAGGUUGCAUAAGUAAAGUUUUCAUAAAAAUAGUGGGCGUUAUAUACAACUGAAAACAGUGUCUGAGAUAACAGCUUGAUAGUUUACUUCUGAUGCUCCAUAAUAUAUUUAUCAAAAUUAUCUAUAAUAGGUGAAUGCAAACGUUCGAUAACAUCUGAGAAUCUUCAUUACUAUGAAUAUUCUCGAUUGAUUAAGAUAGUGAUGUAACACAAUGAUAGCUCGCAGGUCAGUUUUCAGUUAAUUCAUCAUUGUGUGUAUUUUAUCUAUUAUUGAUUUUGGUAGAUAAUCCUGAUAAUUCUUACAAAUGAUACGAAUUCUGUUUACAUGCGUAGGUCAUUGUUGGUAUUUACUACUCAAGCAAAUUUCGUAACAUCGGAGUGUUUUAUCCAUUACGUUUUGGCCUAAAUGACUUUGUUUACUAUUAUUACCGAUCAGAUAUUGCGAAAUUCUCAAAUGAAAUUGAUUUGGUCAGCCUUAAUUACUUUAUUUUUGUUUUCGAUGGAAUUUUCAUUAAUUGGCCAGAAAUGUUAAUUACUUUGUUUACCUGUUCAGCAUAUUGUUGUUGUUUACAAUUUAUACAAAAUGAAUCACCGUUGAAUGUUUUAUCUAUUAGAUUUGACCCUAA